rnacentral:rRNA from 1 species
UACGAAGGGGGCUAGCGUUGCUCGGAAUUACUGGGCGUAAAGGGCGCGUAGGCGGUCAGCUUAGUCAGAGGUGAAAGCCCAGGGCUCAACCUUGGAAUUGCCUUUGAUACUGGCUAUCUUGAGUUCGGGAGAGGUGAGUGGAAUGCCGAGUGUAGAGGUGAAAUUCGUAGAUAUUCGGCGGAACACCAGUGGCGAAGGCGACUCACUGGCCCGAUACUGACGCUGAGGCGCGAAAGCGUGGGGAGCAAACAGG